GGACUACAGGGGUAUCUAAUCCUGUUUGCUCCCCUAGCUUUCGCGCCUCAGCGUCAGUUGUGGUCCAGUGCGCCGCUUUCGCCACAGGUGUUCCUCCUGAUAUCUACGCAUUUCACCGCUACACCAGGAAUUCCACGCACCUCUCCCACACUCCAGCACGGCAGUUUCGCCUGCAAGCUCCCAGUUGAGCCAGGAGAUUUCACAGGUGACAUACCGCGCCGCCUACGCGCCCUUUACGCCCAAUAAUUCCGAACAACGCUCGCACCCUCUGUAUUACCGCGGCUGCUGGCAC
rnacentral:rRNA from 1 species